UGGCUCAGGACGUACGCUGGCGGCACCNUUACACAUGCAAGUCGAACGAAGUAGCAAUACUUAGUGGCAGACGGGUGAGUAACAUGUAGGUAUCUGCCCUUUGGCCUGGAAUAACACGAGGAAACUUGUGCUAAUACCGGAUAAGUCUUUACGGAGAAAGCUUUAUGCACCAUUGGAUGAGCCUGCACUUGAUUAGUUUGUUGGUGGGGUAAUGGCCUACCAAGACUGUGAUCAAUAGCUGAUUUGAGAGGAUGAUCAGCCACAUUGGGACUGAGACACGGCCCAAACUCCUACNGGAGGCAGCAGUGGGGAAUCUUGCACAAUGGAGGAAACUCUGAUGCAGCGAUGCCACGUGAGUGAAGAAGGCCUUUGGGUUGUAAAGCUCUUCUCGUCGGGGAAGAAAAUGACUGUACCCGAAUAAGAAGGUCCGGCUAACUUCGUGCCAGCAGCCGCGGUAAUACGAAGGGACCUAGCGUAGUUCGGAAUUACUGGGCUUAAAGAGUUCGUAGGUGGUUGAAAAAGUUAGUGGUGAAAUCCCAGAGCUUAACUCUGGAACUGCCAUUAAAACUUUUUAGCUAGAGUAUGAUAGAGGAAAGCAGAAUUUCUAGUGUAGAGGUGAAAUUCGUAGAUAUUAGAAAGAAUACCAAUUGCGAAGGCAGCUUUCUGGAUCAUUACUGACACUGAGGAACGAAAGCAUGGGUAGCGAAGAGGAUUAGAUACCCUCGUAGUCCAUGCCGUAAACGAUGUGUGUUAGACGUUGGAAAUUUAUUUUCAGUGUCGCAGCGAAACAUUAAACACACCGCCUGGGGAGUACGACCGCAAGUUAAAACUCAAAUGAAUUGACGGGGGCCCGCACAACGUGGAGCAUGUGGUUUAAUUCGAAGAUACGCGCAGAACCUUACCAACACUUGACAUGUUCGUCGCGACUCUAAGAGAUUAGAGUUUUCGGUUCGGCCGGACGAAACACAGGUGCUGCAUGGCUGUCGUCAGCUCGUGUCGUGAGAUGUUGGGUUAAGUCCCGCAACGAGCGCAACCCUCACUUUUAGUUGCCAUCAUUAAGUUGGGCACUCUGAAAGAACUGCCAGUGAUAAGCUGGAGGAAGGUGGGGCUGG
rnacentral:rRNA from 1 species